ANACNUGCAGUCGAGCGGACUUGAUNGAGAAGCUUGCUUCNNUGAUNCNUUAGCGGCGGACGGGUGAGUAACACGUAGGCAACCUGCCCUCAAGUUUGGGACAACUACCGGAAACGGUAGCUAAUACCGAAUAGUUGUUUUCUUCGCCUGAAGGAAACUGGAAAGACGGAGCAAUCUGUCACUUGGGGAUGGGCCUGCGGCGCAUUAGCUAGUUGGUGAGGUAACGGCUCACCAAGGCGACGAUGCGUAGCCGACCUGAGAGGGUGAUCGGCCACACUGGGACUGAGACACGGCCCAGACUCAUACGGGAGGCAGCAGUAGGGAAUCUUCCGCAAUGGGCGAAAGCCUGACGGAGCAAUGCCGCGUGAGUGAUGAAGGUUUUCGGAUCGUAAAGCUCUGUUGCCAGGGAAGAACGCUUGGGAGAGUAACUGCUCUCAAGGUGACGGUACCUGAGAAGAAAGCCCCGGCUAACUACGUGCCAGCAGCCGCGGUAAUACGUAGGGGGCAAGCGUUGUCCGGAAUUAUUGGGCGUAAAGCGCGCGCAGGCGGUCAUUUAAGUCUGGUGUUUAAUCCCGGGGCUCAACCCCGGAUCGCACUGGAAACUGGGUGACUUGAGUGCAGAAGAGGAGAGUGGAAUUCCACGUGUAGCGGUGAAAUGCGUAGAUAUGUGGAGGAACACCAGUGGCGAAGGCGACUCUCUGGGCUGUAACUGACGCUGAGGCGCGAAAGCGUGGGGAGCAAACAGGAUUAGAUACCCUGGUAGUCCACGCCGUAAACGAUGAGUGCUAGGUGUUAGGGGUUUCGAUACCCUUGGUGCCGAAGUUAACACAUUAAGCACUCCGCCUGGGGAGUACGGUCGCAAGACUGAAACUCAAAGGAAUUGACGNNNACCCGCACAAGCAGUGGAGUAUGUGGUUUAAUUCGAAGCAACGCGAAGAACCUUACCAGGUCUUGACAUCCCUCUGACCGGUNCAGAGAUGUAUCUUUUCCUUCGNNA
rnacentral:rRNA from 1 species